rnacentral:lncRNA from 1 species
UAAAGGUACUAUCCUUUCUACUGUGGAUCCAUCAAUUUACUGUUUUUAGGCUUGUUAGUGUUAAUGACUACUUUCAUAUGAUUUUAGUUUUUGUCAAGAAUUGUUUAUUUUUUCACCAAUGACAAUAUUGUAGUCUGAUAGUUAAAGCUUGAAAGUGUGAAGUUAAAUUUGUGAUUUUAGUGAAAAUUGAGAUUUAGGUGUUCUUGAUUUACAGGUAUAACUCAAAAUUUGAUUGACUUGUGUGGAGGUUGAUGAUUUGACACUGCAUAUUCACUUAUGGAUAUAUCUCAUU